GCGUGCCUAAUACAUGCAAGUCGAACGAGUUCUCGCUGAUGAUCGGUGCUUGCACCGAGAUUCAACAUGGAACGAGUGGCGGACGGGUGAGUAACACGUGGGUAACCUGCCCUUAAGUGGGGGAUAACAUUUGGAAACAGAUGCUAAUACCGCAUAGAUCCAAGAACCGCAUGGUUCUUGGCUGAAAGAUGGCGUAAGCUAUCGCUUUUGGAUGGACCCGCGGCGUAUUAGCUAGUUGGUGAGGUAAUGGCUCACCAAGGCGAUGAUACGUAGCCGAACUGAGAGGUUGAUCGGCCACAUUGGGACUGAGACACGGCCCAAACUCCUACGGGAGGCAGCAGUAGGGAAUCUUCCACAAUGGACGCAAGUCUGAUGGAGCAACGCCGCGUGAGUGAAGAAGGCUUUCGGGUCGUAAAACUCUGUUGUUGGAGAAGAAUGGUCGGCAGAGUAACUGUUGUCGGCGUGACGGUAUCCAACCAGAAAGCCACGGCUAACUACGUGCCAGCAGCCGCGGUAAUACGUAGGUGGCAAGCGUUAUCCGGAUUUAUUGGGCGUAAAGCGAGCGCCGGCGGUUUUUUAAGUUUGAUGUGAAAGCCCUCGGCUUAACCGAGGAAGCGCAUCGGAAACUGGGAAACUUGAGUGCAGAAGAGGACAGUGGAACUCCAUGUGUAGCGGUGAAAUGCGUAGAUAUAUGGAAGAACACCAGUGGCGAAGGCGGCUGUCUGGUCUGUAACUGACGCUGAGGC
rnacentral:rRNA from 1 species